rnacentral:rRNA from 1 species
AACGAACGCUGGCGGCAUGCCUAACACAUGCAAGUCGAACGAGACCUUCGGGUCUAGUGGCGCACGGGUGCGUCACGCGUGGGAACCUGCCCUUAGGUUCGGCAUAACUCCCCGACAGGGGUGCUAAUACCGGAUAAUGUCUUGGGACCAAAGAUUUAUCGCCUUUGGAUGGGCCCGCGUUGGAUUAGCUAGUUGGUAGGGUAAAAGCCUACCAAGGCGACGAUCCAUAGCUGGUCUGAGAGGAUGAUCAGCCACACUGGGACUGAGACACGGCCCAGACUCCUACGGGAGGCAGCAGUGGGGAAUAUUGGACAAUGGGCGAAAGCCUGAUCCAGCCAUGCCGCGUGAGUGAUGAAGGCCUUAGGGUUGUAAAGCUCUUUUGCCCGGGAUGAUAAUGACAGUACCGGGAGAAUAAGCUCCGGCUAACUCCGUG